GUCAUGGGGAAAGCAAAAGAAUUGUCAAAGGAUCUGUGGAAAAAGUGUUUCCUGGCUCCUGUGUUACUGGGUCAUUGGACUGGUAUAGACCUCCGACCUGAAAUGCCUCCCUGCAGCUCUCGCUCCCUCUCUCCAGGCAGAGUGGAGACCCCUAGGGGUACCGUUUGGUGUGCGCUGGGAACAUCCGCCAUCUCAGACCUGAUGGCCUAAGGCCCCCAGUCUGCCGUGAUGCCAAGUACCAAAUAGUGACUCCAGAAUGGUUGCCAUUUGUCAUAUAUGCUGCCUGGGACCUGCCUAAAACAGUGGAAACACAGAGAGCAGGAACAAUGAAACUUCCUCCCUCGUCUAUUGCCACAGACAUUGAUCUUCACUGCAACAAUUUAUUAUAUCACAUCUGCUAUGGCUAUUACAGCAUGCUAUUUGAUGCGUUUACUAAAAAUAUAGCAACAUCAGAGGCAACAGAAAGCCACAUUUUAUGUACUGUAUUAACAUGUUUAUCUAUAAAUACCUCUAAGGCUGUGCAGCAACAGAACAUCUCACAACCAUUGAACUUAACUCAAUCUACAUUUUCAGGAAGCAUUGAUCUAUGCUGUUAUCCUUUUGAAUAAUCCAUUCUUAUUUGACGCUAUUGAUAGAUGGCAGCAUGUGUGCUGGGAGAAAAGAAUGAGAAUGAGAAUAUGACAAAGUUGCAUAAGAAGAUUUUGGCCCCUUUGGUAGC
ensembl:lncRNA